GCCUGUGAUGAUUUAAUCCAGCUUGUUGAGGUGUUGUGGAUCCAAGUCCCUGUUUUACAGGGGGAACCUUCUUGGGGAAGCUACAUUCAUAUGACAUUAAUGGAUUUGACUGAGGC